UACGUAGGGUGCAAGCGUUGUCCGGAGUUAUUGGGCGUAAAGAGCUCGUAGGCGGUCUGUCGCGUCUGCUGUGAAAACUCGGGGCUUAACCCCGGGCCUGCAGUGGGUACGGGCAGACUAGAGUGCGGUAGGGGAGACUGGAAUUCCUGGUGGUAGCGGUGAAAUGCGCAGAUAUCAGGAGGAACACCGGUGGCGAAGGCGGGUCUCUGGGCCGUAACUGACGCUGAGGCGCGAAAGCCAGGGGAGCAAACGGG
rnacentral:rRNA from 1 species